UUCUGGUAAAAAUAAAGUCUUUGUUGUUUUUGUGUCUUCGAUAAACUUCUCAUAUUCAGCUUUGUGCAGCAUGUCACAGUUGAAGCUUAAAUUAAAAUCCUUCGUGGCAGGCAGUGUCUCUUAGCAGACUGAACACAUGGAUCUACCUCCCAAAAUAAAAUCUUUUAUUUUCUUUACUUUAAAAAACACUCUUAAAGCAGCUUGGAUUCUAAGAGCUUGUUUGAGAGAAAAAAAAAAUCUGGGGGUGUGGGGCUUCAUUGGUGGGCCAGGCAGAAGUCACCUGAGGGCCACAUAUACAGCUGCCAGUUACCCAUCUCUGAUUUAUUCUAAGAUGUGGGUGUUAUAGUUUUAGGUCAAGUUUUAGUUUUGUUUUUAUCUCAUGUCAUGUGUUUUUAGCAGCUCUUUUCCUCAGCCUUGUCACAGCCCUGCUCCCCCUCCCUUCACAGAUCCUCAGGUGAUCAGCUCAUGAAACUCACCUGUGUCCCUCUGUAUUUAAGCCAGCAGUUUCCCUCAGCACUCUGCCAGUUUAUCAUCAGCCAGUCUAUGAUUCACCAGCAUUCUUGUCCCACAUCCUGUUGUGAUGUUGGCUCCUCGACCCCCAUCUCGUCCCUUGGAAUACGGCCUCUUGCCUCAGCCCGUGUCGGAUACCUUCUGCCAUCUACUCCUCUGGUAAUGACCCUGGUUCUGUUUCUCGGACUCCUGCCCCUUGUCCCUCCCUUGCUCGGCACCACGACACCUCAGACUUCCUGGUACUCGACCCCUGCCUGCCUCCUGGAUUCAAGAGUUAAGUUUGCUCCUCUUAACCUGUCGUAUUCUCUGAUACCUCGGUGUAUGACCCUCGCCUGUCCCUGGACCCCGGACCCAUUUCUCGGACCCUCAACGCUCCCAAGGAUUGUCGGUGACGUCAUCGUGUUUCUCUGGAACCAAACUGACACAGUYKGUGUUUCCACACGGAGGCUCCCAGUUGACACCAGAAAACCGGACCCACGCACCUGGGUUGUUCCAGCUCCACAUCAGCAAUUUUAAUAAAAUUUGUAAACCUUUA